CUUCUCGAGACGUAGCGGCAACGCGCCUGUCUAGUGAGUAGGAGUCGUGAGUUCGAGUCUCACCGAGAGGA
rfam:Aedes albopictus isolate Foshan contig92809, whole genome shotgun sequence.